rnacentral:rRNA from 1 species
AUUGAACGCUGGCGGCAGGCCUAACACAUGCAAGUCGAGCGGAUGAAGGGAGCUUGCUCCUGGAUUCAGCGGCGGACGGGUGAGUAAUGCCUAGGAAUCUGCCUGGUAGUGGGGGAUAACGUCCGGAAACGGGCGCUAAUACCGCAUACGUCCUGAGGGAGAAAGUGGGGGAUCUUCGGACCUCACGCUAUCAGAUGAGCCUAGGUCGGAUUAGCUAGUUGGUGGGGUAAAGGCCUACCAAGGCGACGAUCCGUAACUGGUCUGAGAGGAUGAUCAGUCACACUGGAACUGAGACACGUUCCAGACUCCUACGGGAGGCAGCAGUGGGGAAUAUUGGACAAUGGGCGAAAGCCUGAUCCAGCCAUGCCGCGUGUGUGAAGAAGGUCUUCGGAUUGUAAAGCACUUUAAGUUGGGAGGAAGGGCAGUAAGUUAAUACCUUGCUGUUUUGACGUUACCAACAGAAUAAGCACCGGCUAACUUCGU